CAUUUAGGCUGUCCUUCGCUGAGCUUAUCUGAUCUCAGAAGCGAGGAAGGGUCAGGCUUGCUAGUGCUCGGAUGAGAAAUGGCCUGGGAAUAUCUGGUGCUAUAGUCU
rnacentral:rRNA from 1 species